rnacentral:rRNA from 1 species
CGUAGGGUGCGAGCGUUAAUCGGAAUUACUGGGCGUAAAGCGUGCGCAGGCGGUUUUGUAAGACAGGCGUGAAAUCCCCGGGCUCAACCUGGGAACUGCGUUUGUGACUGCAAGGCUAGAGUAUGGCAGAGGGGGGUGGAAUUCCACGUGUAGCAGUGAAAUGCGUAGAGAUGUGGAGGAACACCGAUGGCGAAGGCAGCCCCCUGGGCCAAUACUGACGCUCAUGCACGAAAGCGUGGGUAGCAAACAGGAUUAGAUACCCUGGUAGUCCACGCCCUAAACGAUGUCAACUAGGUGUUGGGUGGGUAAAACCAUUUAGUACCGGAGCUAACGCGUGAAGUUGACCGCCUGGGGGAGUACGGCCGCAAGGUUA